AUUGAACGCUGGCGGCAUGCCUAACACAUGCAAGUCGAACGAGUGGCGGACUGGUGAGUAAUUUCUGGGAAACUGCCUGAUGGAGGGGGAUAACUACUGGAAACGUUAGCUAAUACCGCAUACCAUCAGAUGUGCCCAGAUGGGAUUAGCUAGUUGGGAGGGUAACGCCUCACCAAGGCGCCGAUCCCUAGCUGGUCUGAGAGGAUGACCAGCAAAACGGGAACGGAGACACGGUCAAGACUCCAACGGGAGGCAGCAGAGGGGAAUAUUGCAAAAUGGGCGAAAGCUUGAUGCAGACAUGCGGGGUGGAUGAAGAAGGCUUCGGGGUGGUAAAGUAGGUUCAGCGGGGAGGCGUUACCAGCAGGAGAAGCACCGGCUAACUCCGUGCAAGCAGCCGCGGAAAUAC
rnacentral:rRNA from 1 species